rnacentral:misc_RNA from 1 species
GAUGAAGAACGUAGCGAAAUGCGAUAAGUAAUGUGAAUUGCAGAAUUCAGUGAAUCAUCGAAUCUUUGAACGCACAUUGCGCCCGCCAGUAUUCUGGCGGGCAUGCCUGUCCGAGCGUCAUUUCAACCCUCGAACCCCUCCGGGGGGUCGGCGUUGGGGAUCGGCACUUACCUGCCGGCCCCGAAAUACAGUGGCGGUCUCGCCGCAGCCUCUCCUGCGCAGUAGUUUGCACACUCGCACCGGGAGCGCGGCGCGUCCACGGCCGUAAAACAACCCAAACUUCAGAAAUGUUGACCUCGGAUCAGGUAGGAAUACCCGCUGAACUUAAGCAUAUCAAUAAGCGGAGGA